rnacentral:rRNA from 1 species
UACGGAGGAUGCGAGCGUUAUCCGGAUUUAUUGGGCUUAAAGGGUGCGCAGGCGGCACGGCAAGCCGGCGGUCAAAUCGCGGGGCUCAACCCCGCCCAGCCGUCGGAACUGCCGGGCUAGAGUGGGCGAGAAGUACGCGGAAUGCGUGGUGUAGCGGUGAAAUGCAUAGAUAUCACGCAGAACUCCGAUUGCGAAGGCAGCGUACCGGCGCCCAACUGACGCUGAAGCACGAAGGCGUGGGUAUCGAACAGG